rnacentral:rRNA from 1 species
GUGAACCAGUACCGUGAGGGAAAGGCGAAAAGAACCCCGGCGAGGGGAGUGAAAAAGAACCUGAAACCGUGUACGUACAAGCAGUGGGAGCACCCUUUGGGUGUGACUGCGUACCUUUUGUAUAAUGGGUCAGCGACUUAUAUUCUGUAGCAAGGUUAACCGAAUAGGGGAGCCGGAGGGAAACCGAGUCUUAAUUGGGCGUUAAGUUGCAGGGUAUAGACCCGAAACCCGGUGAUCUAGCCAUGGGCAGGUUGAAGGUUGGGUAACACUAACUGGAGGACCGAACCGACUAAUGUUGAAAAAUUAGCGGAUGACCUGUGGCUGGGGGUGAAAGGCCAAUCAAACCGGGAGAUAGCUGGUUCUCCCCGAAAGCUAUUUAGGUAGCGCCUCGUGAAUUCAUCUCCGGGGGUAGAGCACUGUUUCGGCUAGGGGGCCAUCCCGGCUUACCAACCCGAUGCAAACUGCGAAUACCGGAGAAUGUUAUCACGGGAGACACACGGCGGGUGCUAACGUCCGUCGUGAAGAGGGAAACAACCCAGACCGCCAGCUAAGGUCCCAAAGUCAUGGUUAAGUGGGAAACGAUGUGGGAAGGCCCAGACAGCCAGGAUGUUGGCUUAGAAGCAGCCAUCAUUUAAAGAAAGCGUAAUAGCUCACUGGUCGAGUCGGCCUGCGCGGAAGAUGUAACGGGGCUAAACCAUGCACCGAAGCUGCGGCAGCGACACUGUGUGUUGUUGGGUAGGGGAGCGUUCUGUAAGCCUGUGAAGGUGUGUCGUGAGGCAUGCUGGAGGUAUCAGAAGUGCGAAUGCUGACAUAAGUAACGAUAAAGCGGGUGAAAAGCCCGCUCGCCGGAAGACCAAGGGUUCCUGUCCAACGUUAAUCGGGGCAGGGUGAGUCGACCCCUAAGGCGAGGCCGAAAGGCGUAGUCGAUGGGAAACGGGUUAAUAUUCCCGUACUUGGUGUUACUGCGAAGGGGGGACGGAGAAGGCUAUGUUGGCCGGGCGACGGUUGUCCCGGUUUAAGCGUGUAGGUGUGUGUUCCAGGUAAAUCCGGUUCACUUUAACACUGAGGCGUGACGACGAGGCACUACGGUGCUGAAGCAACAAAUGCCCUGCUUCCAGGAAAAGCCUCUAAGCAUCAGGUAACAUCAAAUCGUACCCCAAACCGACACAGGUGGUCAGGUAGAGAAUACCAAGGCGCUUGAGAGAACUCGGGUGAAGGAACUAGGCAAAAUGGUGCCGUAACUUCGGGAGAAGGCACGCUGACACGUAGGUGAAGUGAUUUACUCAUGGAGCUGAAGUCAGUCGAAGAUACCAGCUGGCUGCAACUGUUUAUUAAAAACACAGCACUGUGCAAACACGAAAGUGGACGUAUACGGUGUGACGCCUGCCCGGUGCCGGAAGGUUAAUUGAUGGGGUCAGCGCAAGCGAAGCUCCUGAUCGAAGCCCCGGUAAACGGCGGCCGUAACUAUAACGGUCCUAAGGUAGCGAAAUUCCUUGUCGGGUAAGUUCCGACCUGCACGAAUGGCGUAAUGAUGGCCAGGCUGUCUCCACCCGAGACUCAGUGAAAUUGAACUCGCUGUGAAGAUGCAGUGUACCCGCGGCAAGACGGAAAGACCCCGUGAACCUUUACUAUAGCUUGACACUGAACAUUGAGCCUUGAUGUGUAGGAUAGGUGGGAGGCUUUGAAGUGUGGACGCCAGUCUGCAUGGAGCCGACCUUGAAAUACCACCCUUUAAUGUUUGAUGUUCUAACGUGGACCCGUUACCCGGGUUGCGGACAGUGUCUGGUGGGUAGUUUGACUGGGGCGGUCUCCUCCUAAAGAGUAACGGAGGAGCACGAAGGUUGGCUAAUCCUGGUCGGACAUCAGGAGGUUAGUGCAAUGGCAUAAGCCAGCUUGACUGCGAGCGUGACGGCGCGAGCAGGUGCGAAAGCAGGUCAUAGUGAUCCGGUGGUUCUGAAUGGAAGGGCCAUCGCUCAACGGAUAAAAGGUACUCCGGGGAUAACAGGCUGAUACCGCCCAAGAGUUCAUAUCGACGGCGGUGUUUGGCACCUCGAUGUCGGCUCAUCACAUCCUGGGGCUGAAGUAGGUCCCAAGGGUAUGGCUGUUCGCCAUUUAAAGUGGUACGCGAGCUGGGUUUAGAACGUCGUGAGACAGUUCGGUCCCUAUCUGCCGUGGGCGCUGGAGAACUGAGGGGGGCUGCUCCUAGUACGAGAGGACCGGAGUGGACGCAUCACUGGUGUUCGGGUUGUCAUGCCAAUGGCACUGCCCGGUAGCUAAAUGCGGAAGAGAUAAGUGCUGAAAGCAUCUAAGCACGAAACUUGCCCCGAGAUGAGUUCUCCCUGAGACUUAAAGUCUCCUGAAGGAACGUUGAAGACGACGACGUUGAUAGGCCGGGUGUGUAAGCGCAGCGAUGCGUUGAGCUAACCGGUACUAAUGAACCGUGAGGCUUAACC